GACGAACGCUGGCGGUGUGCUUCACACAUGCAAGUCGAACGGGGUAGCAAUACCCAGUGGCGGACGGGUGAGUAACACGUGGGAAUCUGCCUUCAGAUGGGGGAUAGCUGGCCGAAAGGCCAUUUAAUACCCCAUAUGCCGCAAGGUAAAAGGAGUAAUCCGUCUGGAGAUGAGCCCGCGCCCGAUUAGCUAGUUGGUAGGGUAAUGGCCUACCAAGGCUCCGAUCGGUAGCUGGUCUGAGAGGAUGAUCAGCCACAAUGGGACUGAGACACGGCCCAUACUCCUACGGGAGGCAGCAGUGGGGAAUUUUACGCAAUGGGGGAAACCCUGACGUAGCGACACCGCGUGAGCGAAGAAGCCCUUUGGGGUGUAAAGCUCUGUCAACAGGGACGAAAAAAAUGACGGUACCUGUGGAGGAAGCAUCGGCUAACUACGUGCCAGCCGCCGCGGUAAAAC
rnacentral:rRNA from 1 species